CCUACGGGAGGCAGCAGUGGGGAAUAUUGGACAAUGGGCGAAAGCCUGAUCCAGCCAUGCCGCGUGUGUGAAGAAGGUCUUCGGAUUGUAAAGCACUUUAAGUUGGGAGGAAGGGCAUUAACCUAAUACGUUAGUGUUUUGACGUUACCCGACAGAAUAAGCCCCG
rnacentral:rRNA from 1 species